rnacentral:miRNA from 1 species
GUCAGUGUCUGUGGACUGAGUG